rnacentral:antisense_RNA from 1 species
GGUAACCGAAGAUAAUGGCUGGGUUCAGAGUCGGGUUAGUAAUGACACGCACGUCACCACCACCGGGUGCCCAAGUGUCAUACACACCACCAAAGAACAUCGCCUUGGCGACCAACAGCAGGGCACCCAAUCCCAACAUGAUCAGGUGGAAGCCCAAGAUGGUGGUCAUCUUGUUCUUGUCUUUCCA